rnacentral:rRNA from 1 species
UGGUAAUGCCGGAUGCUCCAGUUGAUCGCAUGGUCUUCUGGGAAAGCCUUUGCGGCAUGGGAUGGGGUCGCGUCCUAUCAGCUUGAUGGCGGGGUAACGGCCCACCAUGGCUUCGACGGGUAGCCGGCCUGAGAGGGCGACCGGCCACAUUGGGACUGAGAUACGGCCCAGACUCCUACGGGAGGCAGCAGUGGGGAAUAUUGCACAAUGGGCGCAAGCCUGAUGCAGCGACGCCGCGUGAGGGAUGGAGGCCUUCGGGUUGUAAACCUCUUUUGUUAGGGAGCAAGGCAUUUUGUGUUGAGUGUACCUUUCGAAUAAGCACCGGCUAACUACGUGCCAGCAGCCGCGGUAAUACGUAGGGUGCAAGCGUUAUCCGGAAUUAUUGGGCGUAAAGGGCUCGUAGGCGGUUCGUCGCGUCCGGUGUGAAAGUCCAUCGCUUAACGGUGGAUCCGCGCCGGGUACGGGCGGGCUUGAGUGCGGUAGGGGAGACUGGAAUUCCCGGUGUAACGGUGGAAUGUGUAGAUA